GUGCUCGUUUCUCUUCAGAUCGCAUUUUAAAUCUUUCGCCUUUUACUAAGAGUUCCGUGGAGAGGCACAACAGAGAUUUGACAAUUUUUUUGGUGUCUCUGUUAACAGUUGG
rnacentral:snRNA from 1 species